rnacentral:rRNA from 1 species
UACGGGGGGGAGCAAGCGUUGUUCGGAUUUAUUGGGCGUAAAGCGCUCGCAGGUGGCCCGAUGCGUCGUGCGUGAAAGACCCCGGCUCAACUGGGGGGUGUCGUGCGAUACGGUCGGGCUGGAGGCCAGUAGGGGGAUGCGGAAUUCCGGGUGUAGUGGUGGAAUGCGUAGAGAUCCGGAGGAACACCAGCGGCGAAGGCGGCAUCCUGGACUGGUCCUGACACUCAUGAGCGAAAGCGUGGGGAGCGAUCCGG